GUUUUCCUCUCCCACUCUGAUAACCUGUGUUUCGAUACGAAACGGGCCCUGCCUCAUUAUUUGUCAUCUCCCUGGAGGUGACGGAGGGCUGUUUCAACCUCAGGGGAAAAGUUGCUGUACAGAACACAGGCCAGAGUGUGCCCCAAAGAAAUCAGGCGGUGGAGUGAUUUAAAAGUGAUCAUUUUCUGUAGUCCUAGCUACUCGGGAGGCUGAGGCAGGAAAAUCGCUUGAACCCGGGAGAAGAAGGAUGCAGUGAGCAGAGAUCGUGCCAUUGCACUUCAGCCUGGCGACAGAGCAAGACUCCGUCUCAAAAAGAAAAAAAAAAAGUGAUCAUUUUCAUGAAUGCUGCCUCUAAGGUCCCUCCUGCUGACAAUGGCCAGGGCAGUGCGGAGGCUCCUCUUUGGAAAUUGUCUUCAGAGCUGAUGCAGACUCUUUUGAAAGCAGCCACAGACAUUGGGGAUGGAGUCUGGUGGUUAAGGAGGAGUUUGGGAGGAGCAUCUG
rnacentral:lncRNA from 1 species